CAUCGUGUACGCACCACAGUUGAGUGACCAGUCAGCCUGCCACAAACGUUCGGCGCUCCGCAAAUUCUUUCUGUGUGGCCUAGCGUUCCAUUACGUCACGGAAAGGAACGACAGCAGGAUCAACGAAGACCGGAGACUCCUUUGCCAGGCUGUGCACGAAUACCAAAAAUGUACAUCAAUGGCACUUUCUUCUACGGACUGCUUUUUGGAUGAGGCACUACGAAAACAUGUCUCCUACUUCUCAAGCGGAGCUCUAGAAGACCAAGGAGUGGCUUGCAGUUCGGACGGCAUGCCAAAGGCGCAACGCUCACAGAUUUCAAGCAGCAAUCAACGUCUACUGCACGCACAGCAGAAAUGCGUGGGGCGAGCAGCCCUGUUCGACUUCUUCAAAUGUGGCCUCGAGUUCAACCGGCUGGUGAAGCGGGCCAACCGCGGAGAUCGCAAAUUCAAGAGAGCCUAUUCCCGGAAGAAGGGCAAGCGGAGCUCCCGAAAGCGCCAGAAGCCCAUUGUCGUCCCACGAACUGCUUUCCGGA